rnacentral:rRNA from 1 species
ACCAGACUCCUACGGGAGGCAGCAGUGGGGGAUAUUGCACAAUGGGGGGAACCCUGAUGCAGCGACGCCGCGUGGGUGAAGAAGCGCCUCGGCGCGUAAAGCCCUGUCAGCAGGGAAGAAAAUGACGGUACCUGAAGAAGAAGCCCCGGCUAACUACGUGCCAGCAGCCGCGGUAAUACGUAGGGGGCAAGCGUUAUCCGGAUUUACUGGGUGUAAAGGGGGCGCAGACGGCGAUGCAAGCCAGGAGUGAAAGCCCGGGGCCCAACCCCGGGACUGCUCUUGGAACUGCGUGGCUGGAGUGCAGGAGGGGCAGGCGGAAUUCCUGGUGUAGCGGUGAAAUGCGUAGAUAUCAGGAGGAACACCGGUGGCGAAGGCGGCCUGCUGGACUGCAACUGACGUUGAGGCCCGAAAGCGUGGGGAGCAAACAGGAUUAGAUACCCUUGUAAA